UGGCUUUGGCAGCACAUACACUAGAAUCGGAAUGACACAGAGGAGAGUAUUAGCGUGGCCUCUGCACAAGGAUGACACACAAAUUUGUGAAACAUUCUGUAUUUUU
rnacentral:snRNA from 1 species